rnacentral:rRNA from 1 species
UACGUAGGGUGCAAGCGUUAAUCGGAAUUACUGGGCGUAAAGGGCGCGUAGGCGGAUAAGCAAGUGAGAUGUGAAAUACCCGGGCUUAACCUGGGAACGGCAUCUUAAACUGCGUAACUAGAGUAUUGUAGAGGAUAGUGGAAUUUCCGGUGUAGCGGUGAAAUGCGUUGAGAUCGGAAGGAACAUCAGUGGCGAAGGCGACUGUCUGGACAAAUACUGACGCUGAGGCGCGAAAGCGUGGGGAGCAAACAGG